rnacentral:ncRNA from 1 species
AUGAACGCGAUGAUAGGAAAUAGUAGCAUGUCCUUUCUUCUCAAGAGAGUCAGUGGCCGGUGAGAACUGACGAAGAAACCAUGUGAAUCCAUCCUUGAGUGUCUGGCUGAAAUGGAGUAGGUCAGACCGGUACUCACCGUUAUGAGUGAAGCCGGAAGGUACACGUGUACCUUUAACUUGGGUGGUAUCGCGGGAAGCAUAAACAAAAGCUCUCGUCCCUUCU